CAACUCAGCAGGCCUCAAUAUGGAUGUGGAUGAUGAUAAUUCAGAUAGUAGUUUACUUGGGAAAUCAAUCAACUUCUCCAGAUCCUCUUUCCUAAAACGGUUACUAAAAUCCUGCAAGUUGUUGGAAGAGUGAUAAUAUGUUAAUGCAAUAGUCUACAUGAAGAAAUUGAGAGUUCAUACAAAAACAAAAUUGCUAAGACUAAGGAUUCAUUCAGCUGGUGACUAAGGUAACCGCUCAUGGGAGUUUCUAUCAAGAGAUUGAAUGAACGAGUUGAUGAAGACAUGCCUCUUCAUUAAAUUCAUUAACAAACUUUUUACAUCAAUCGUGAGUCCUCUUUAAUUUUAGUUAGCGCUUCUCUUAUGUCUCUUUGUAAAUUACUUACAAUUUUAUAAUUUGUGUUGGUUUAAUUAUUGAUAGUUGUCUCUCAUCGGAUCUGAUGUAAAAUAAUUUUUUACCAUGCACUACAUAACGAAAUAAUUUUUUU